CGGGGAUGUCAUUCUACUAAACAAACCAAAAUAUAUCUUCAUAAUCUCAACUUAACAUUUCAGCAUAAGUUAAAGGUACAUUUAACCUUACAUCAAAAGUCUUACAUCAUACGCCUCUAAAAGUUCAGGUUUAUCACAAAAUACAUAUUUAAAACACUUCUCCCGAUUACAUAUACUACUACUAAAGUUUUAUUGCUAAUCCAACCAGGUCUAGCACUUCAGUUCACCACAUUUUUACCCUUGCCGGAAUAACCUUCUCCGGAAUCCUUUCCUGUAGAGUUAGUACAUGAAAAGAAAAGAUGAGCUCAUAAAGCUCAGCAAGCAUAUAUUGUACGAAUCAACUGAGUUUUAUUCACAAAGCUUUAAUUGAUAAAAUCAAUAAUUCCACAGAGUCAUCAAAACAGUUUCACACAUCGAGAUGAGUAUGAGUAUUCAAGCAUGUUCACAAGUUCACACAUUCUACUGUUGGGGAUCCCGGCCAGCUAAACAAUUGGUUUAGCUUUCCUUCCCGAAGGAAGUAUCACACUACUUCACAAAGGAAGCAUCACACACAGAACAAAUGUAAGAAUACUCAUUUCUCAUCAGAAAAUCAUCAAAACAAUGUUCGCCAAAACAUCAUAAAAUAUUACCAGUGAAGGGUACAGUAUAUACUUACAGUGUACAAUGUCCUAGUUAAAAUCUCCAACAACUUCGUUCCCUAAAAUAUUCACACAUUUAUUUUAUUAUUAUAAUAUCAUGCUUAUAUUAAGACUCCAAUUACUACUAUUCAAAUAAAAACACUUAAAUUAAUAAAACUAUAAAAAUAAUAAGUCAGUAGACUUACUAGAUUUAACAGGCUGUGAGCUUCCUAUUUUUAGAAAGUUGGAGUUUGUUGUGUUUAUAUAAGGAAAGGUGUGGCUUUCCUUCCAUCUCUACUCGAUGUGGUACAACAAUGAGGUUUUAAGAAAAGUUGGCGUCGGGUGGCGCCAACGACUUGUCCAACUUGGCGUCAGGGGUGACGCCCACAACUUGCUCUUGCCUUGCUUCUCUAAUUUUCUUAAUUAGAUACUAGGUCAUUGGUUAUAUUCACAAGAAUAUAGUGUCAAGUUAUCAAUGUGGUACGAAAAUGAAGAUUAAAGAAAAGAAGUUAUCGGGAGCUAGCAUGGUGCCUAAGUGGAAAGGAUGCAUGUCUUGCUAGUAUCAACAAGUUUUAUUAAUUAGUGUCUUGGCUCUUGCUAUAAAUAUCCCUCCUUGUCCCCUUUUCUUUUAGAUGUGGUUUGUAGACUUUAUUCUCUUUGUAAUAGAUCACCCAUCCCACAUUGAGAAGAUAUUGGAGCCAUCUUGCCCUCAACAUCUAUAUAUAUCCCUAACUAGCUCACCUUUCUACUCAAGAAAGUCUUUGAGCUUUCUCUUGGCUCCAAUAUUUCCAAGUAAUUUAAGUUUUAAAGCUUUUAUUUAAUAAAGGACUUUGUCAAGUCCCACAUUGUUGAGCAAAUAGAGAUUUAUAAUCUCUUUCUCCAUAUAAUGUUAUGAAGCCAACACUUGCAACCCAAGCUUAUUCAUUUUCGACUACUUUUAGUCCCACAUCGAGGAGAUAUGAGAGAUACAUCACCUCCUCUUCUAUAUAAAUCAAAGCUGUAAAGUCAAUAUUUAAAACUAAACCAACUUCAACUAUUUGUUUGGUUUGUGGACAGUUAUAUUGUCCCACAUCGAGAAGGUUUUAAAGAAAUUUCCUUCUCAACUCUAUAUAAAGCCAACAAGUCUAUUUGCUUAGGAGAUUAAAGGGAACUCACCCCUUCCAUAAUAGAAGUUGAGCAUAGAACUUAGUAAGUUCUAUAUAAUAUAAUCUCAAAUAAGUAUAAACAUAUUCCUUCACUUGGCUUUUCUAAUAGCCUAAUUAAAAUAAGAAGUUUUUAGAUUCUGAAUAGGGAAUGAAAGUCUAAAAGUUUACUCUUACAAAACUACCAGUAGAGAUGAAAAUAAUCAUCUAAGUUUUAUUUGUUUGUAAAACAACUUGUCCCACAUCGAGAAGAUGUGAGUACAAGUCUCAUGUCUCAACUAUAUAUUGGGAUUGAGCAUGAGCUUAUUAAUUAAUUAAUAAAUACUAAAUAAAUUGGGCUUGGUAACUAGACUAAGCCUAGUUAAUAUUUGGCCCAAAUAAUGAUUGGGUUGAAUCUAGUCCAAUUCAAUUGAACAUAAUUUUGGGUGAAAGUAGAAAAUAUAAUAAUAUUCUUCAAAAUACAUAUAAUUUAUGUAUUUUCAAAUAAAACUGAACUUGGGAUAUUACAAUAUAAAAUUCUAUCCAAUAUAACUAAAUAUUUUAAUUUUUUAAAUCGAAACAAUGAAAUUUAGAAAUUAACUCUAUAAAAUCCUUAAAUCCUUAUCACAUAAAUAUGAAUUUUCUAUAAAAUUUCUAUCAAAUAAUUAUAGGGAGUCAGUAGAACUUUUGUGCGGAUAUGAGAAUAAAAUAUAUUAAAUAUUUAAAUAACGAAUUUUAUUUAUAAAAUGUUUUUAAGUUAUUUAACUUAAAAAUUCCUUCAUACUUCUAUAUUACUUUAUCAUACAAGCAACUUCAAUGUUGCAAUAUAGAAGUCUGAAGGAAUUUUUAAGUUACAUAACUUAAAUACGUUUUCUAAAUAAGAUUCGUUAUUUAAAUAUUUAAUUUAUUUUAUAUUCUCAGAUCCGCACAAAAGCUCUGCUGACUACCUAUAAUUAAUUGAAAGAAAUUUUAUAGAGAAUACAUAUUUAUGUGAUAAGGAUUUUAUAGAGUUAAUUUCUAAAUUAAAUUGUUUCGGUUUAAAAAAUUAAAAUAUUUAGUUAUAUUUGAUAGAAUUCUAUAUCAUGAAUAAUCGUUAUGUAAAAAAAUCUUUGACCAGUAUAUAUGUCUUAUAUCUUUUAAUAGGAGUAUAAUACUUUAAUAGGAGUUUAAUAAUGAUAUAAUCAAUACCCUUUAUUAAUAAGCGAAACCACAUUUCGGUGGAACAUCGGUACCAAAAGUACCAAAAUUUCGUCACUUUCAUACUGAUUAGGAUUUUAUAAUCAUUAUUAUACUGCUAAAAAAGACUUUUAUAUUGUAUAGAAUUUUAUUAUUAUUCAUUUAGACAAUGAAAGACUUUGUAUUGAUUAGAAAUUUAUUAUUAAAAACUUCAAUAUUGAUUAGGACUAUGUUAUAUAAUUUUUUUUAUUUAAUAACAAUAAUCAUUAUAGAAUUAUGAAAACAUUUUCAUAUUAUUAGAAUUUUAUAGUUACUAUUAUACAUUUUUAGAAUUUUAUAAUUAUUAUUAUACAAUUAUGAAAAGACUUUUAUAUUGAUUCGGAUUUUAUUAUUAAAAAUUUCAAUAUUAGUUAAGAUUUUAUAAUUAUUAUUUAAUUCAAUAAAACGACUUCUAUAGUGUUUAGAAUUUUGUAAUAUAACAUUUAUCCAAUCCGGACAGUUAAAUCGCAAACAAUUUAACUUAUAAAACAGUUCUAUAAAAUUCAUAUCAAAAUUUGGCUAUCAUCAUAUUAUUUUUUAUUUAACAAUUAUUACAAUUAUCUCACUAAUAAAAAUAUAUUAUCAACAAAAUUAUUUGUCUAAUUUUUUAAAACUCAUAUAAUUUAAUAUACGGAACAACUCUGUAAAUCUUUUAGCAUGCUUCAAAGUUUAAAGAAAUAAGGAGUUCAUAUUGAUAUUAAUAUAAUAUCCAUAUAUAGUUUUUAUCAAUAAGCGGAAUCAAUAUCAUCAAAGUAUCAAAAUUUUAUUAUUAUCAUAUAAAUUUUAAUAAUUAUUAUUACUAUCAUAUAACUAUGAGAAUACUUCCAUGUAUGAUCACAAUUUUUGUAGUAUAGUGAUUAUCACACCAACAAAAUUGCAGUCAACAAAGCUACUCAAUUUAUUUUUAAAACUCAAAUAAUUUAUUUAAUAAAAUAACUUUAAUUUGGUUAUCAUCAUAUAAUUUUUUUUAUUCGGCAGUAAUAAUAAUUAUACUAUUAUACAUUUAUAAUAAAAUAAUAUCCUACCAAUAGAAUAAUAAUGUCAACGACAUUAUUCGUUUUAAUUUUUGAAACUCAUACAAUUUAAUUUACAAAACAAAUUUAUAAAAUUUCUAUCAUAUUUCAGAAUUAAAAUAAACAAGAUUCAAUAUUGAUACCAAAGUACCAAAAAAUUGAUCAUAUAUUUUUUUUAAUAAUAAUAAUAAUUAUCAUUUAGUGCUCUUCUGAAGAUUGCGAUAAAGAUGAAUAAUGCGGUGGUAAUACUAACUUGACAAAUAGAAACUCAAAGAAAAUGAAGCCAUUGUCCAUAUUGCAACAUAUAAUAAAAGAACCGAAACACAAGACAUACGUCAAAAUAUUUGAUAUCAAAUUAGUUUUGAAAAGUUAAUUAAUUUUGUCAAACUACAAUAUUAGUUUAUCAAACAACUACAACACCACAGUUAGAUCUACAAAAACUCCAACUAGAAUUAUAUAUAAUGUUUGCCUAUUAAACGGACUAAAUAAUUACGACUUAAAAUUUUAAAUUUUUAUUCAAGAUUAAAAACGCAAUAAACGAACUUAUAGGUGUUGAUCUUAAAUAUUAUUUUCACAAUUUAAAAAUCAUCAAACAACAUAGUAAUUUUACUAAAACAAAACAUAUUGUUAGAGUUAAGCUCCAUAAAGUCCGCAUUUAAGCCGUAAUAAGUAUCAGUCAUAAUAUUUUAGUUUAGUCAUAAAUAAUAUUUUUAAUUAUUCAAAUUUUAUAUAUAAUUUACUAUUUUUAAGUAGUUUUAAAUAUAAUUAUCAAUUAAUCAUUAACAUCUUUCAACAUUAACAAUCAUUAAUAUCAUUAUUCUACUUAUGAGUUAUAUUUUAGAACAUAUACAAUGUUUAGUGAUUUAUAAAAUAAUUGUUUUAUCCUUUGAUUGCGACAAAUAUUGUAGAACAUAACCUGCAAAUUUUCAGAUGUUUACAAAUAUUGUAGACUAAAAAAAUUAAAAAUUGAAACGACUAGAUAUUUUUAAAUAAUUUUGAACUCCAAUACUCUUAUUUUAUGGACUCCAUAGAACAGGAACCCAUAUUGUUAUGAAAUAAAUUUAAAAUAGGAUCAAAUUUUAAUAUAUGAAAAGUCUUAUAUUAAAUAACAAUAAUUCAAAUAUCAUUUGAAAACAAUAAUUUAAAUAAUUAUGAUAAAAAUAUGAUAAUGUAAUUAAAAAAUGACAUUAUUCUUCUAAUAAAUAACAAAUUUUAAAAUUUUAGUCAAACCCGUGUUUGGCACGGGUUAUCAACUAGAAUUAAAUAUAAUAUAAGAUGACCAAAUUUUGGUACUUUGAUAUGAUGUUCCACCGAAACGUGGAUUCGCUUAUUAAUCGCUUAUUAAUAAAAGAUAUUGAUAUCAUCAAUAAGAAUUAUGAAUAACAUAAACAAAAGAUAAAAACAAAUGCGAUAAUAAUAUUGUUCUUAGGUCUAAAUAAAACCUACGUACAUAGUUAUAGUAAAUCCCGUAUGACCGUAUAAAAAACAGUAUUUUUAUGAAGAUCCGGUUCCACAUAAGAUCAAUAUGGAUCAAGCAGAUCCGCAUCAAUGUCCUUUAAAGCUAUUCUAGCAAUGCUGCAGCAAUCAGCAUGUUUCUUGACUUUAAAUUUAUUCUAGCACCAUGUAUGCUUCCAUGCCAUGAAGCGACGGGACGUCUACAUACAGGUUCAAAGUAUUUGCAUCUUUUAUUUUGGAUUUGAAACUCGGUGCACGUGUAAGUAUAUUUUGCGCAUGUUUUUUGCUUAAACUUAUAAAUCAUUUAUAACUUAGAAAAGAUGUACUAUAUAUUAUUUAUAAAUUAUCUAUAAAUAAAUUAAUUUAAACAAAAAUUAUAAGUGAGUUAACCAUGCAGAAUCAAGCUUUAUUCCAAUAUUCCUUACGUUUGAUGUUAAUAGAAACCUAAAUUCAUCAUGUUAAAUUAAUAAUCUCACAAGUGAGAAUCAUUAACGAUUCUAUAUGUCUAUCUGCAUAUUUCAUCUCAUCGAGCGCUAAUAUUGCCGGUGCCCUUUGCUCACUGCUACUAGCCUAACGAACUGCCACAUUUACACUGCAAAAAAAAAUAAAAAAAUUGCUAAUAAAAUCAUGUGCGAUAUGGAUAAUACAUAAGUCCGCGUGUCUAGAAGCACACACAUAAAAUAAUUUAUAAAUAUUACUACCCUGCAAAUACUUCAAUUUGAUAUGAAUAGUUGGACAAGAACACCAUCUAGUUAUGUGUAAAUAAUCAAAAUUGUCAGAUUAAAUCUUAUUAGAUCCUUGGGAUGAUUUUAUUGGCUUAAAGAAGAUAAUUUAAGUUCUUAAAUUAUAGCCAUUAGUAAUUAAUUAUAACCUACUACCCAUAUUAAGCAAUAACAUGAUUAGUUGACCCAAUUUAAUAAUUUUAAUUUGAUAAAGUUAGGGGCAGCCGGGAAAAAAAGCUAUUCCACAGUGAUAAUCACAUGUUUAGUUCGACCCUUCUAUGUUCCAUAAGCCAUUUAGCUACCCUUUCAGCCAUUCUAACCAAAUAUAUAAUACAUUAUACAUUAACUAAUUAUUAAAGACAUGCAUAAUGUAAUAGUUAUAUCUUAUGCCAAUCAUAAUAUAUAAUCAUUUUCGCCUGUUUAGAUCUUUAAUUUAUGCCGUGACCGAGAAUUCGGCACGUAUUUUAAAACUCAUGUAAUAUAUAAUUUUAUAAAUUAUUUUAAAUAUUAAUAAAAGUAUAAUAUCUAAAUACUCAUAAAAAAUCAAAACAAGUUAUGAAACUAUAUUUUAUGACAGUUUUAAAAUGUGUGUUAAGCGGUGGAAAAAACUGUAAGAUAAUUCGCGAUAUCAAAAAACAGUACUAUGUUUUUACCCAUGAUGAUUUUUAUCAAAAUCAAUACAAUUAUUUGCUAUUAGUUUUCUUUUAAUGAACGAUUAUUGUUAUCAAAUUAGGCUAACAAUUCGUUAAAUAUAUCUUAAUUCUUAAGAUUAAAAAGAUUAUACUCAAAAAAUAUGUCCAUUGUUAGAGUAUAGGGUGACUCUCAAAUUUUAUUUUUUUUUGUCAGGUCUCUCAAAUAUAAUUGACUUGGUGUUAAAAUAUGUAAAAAUUUUAGUUUAGCGGAACCGGUUGUCAUAAAAUAGAGAUUUAUCAGUUACACAAAAAUAAUCAAUCGAUCGAUUGUCUAUAAUACGUCAAAUAAACUAAUCAGACAAGACAAUCGGAGAUAUUCUUAGUAAAUAAGAAAUUAAUCUUGCUCCCAUAAGUAAAAGUGAAGUUCACGUCAUGUUAAAGUAAUUAAUCAUGAUCUCAAAAGCAUGAAUGAAGAUAAUAUGAACGAAACUGAUCGACUGGGAUAUGGAAGAUGAAUCAUGAAGAUAUAACUCUACACUAGUACACAUGCAUGCACGCCCUCGUAUAAUUAACUAUCCUCUAUAAUGCAAUGCUUAUCUGUUAAUUAAUUAAAUCUAACCUACUUAGCUAGCUAGCGAACUACGUAUAUAGGCGGCCUUUAUAAAUAAUGUUACUAUUGUCAAUGAACUCCAUACUAGCUAGAAGAUGAUCUCAUGAUUCCGAUCCCUAUUAUAUGGAUUGGCGCACAACGGCUAAAUUAUUGCAUAAAUUAAAGAGUUGUAACUUCAUUUUAAGGUAUUAGCAUUGACAAUGAUUAGUUAAUUAAUUGAGCAGAAUUAGAUUAGGGAAUAGCUCCCCUUAAAGAAACAACACCGGCUCGUGACAACGAUGCAUAAAUUAGGUAAAAGAAAGGUCGUUAGAGUUUGCUAGUGAGGUUAAAUUCACUGUUUUUAACCUUUUGUGGUGUGUUAAUCACCUAUAAAGUUGAGCACCUCUUAGUCUUUUAAAUUUUUAAAACGCCAUCAAGCCGUAAAAUGGUACAGUACGUACUAAACGACAAGUCGAUAAUUAUGCAAGUGAGAAUUUGUGGAAUAAAAAACUCAUAUGGAGGAUAUUAUUUGUAGUUGCUACUUUUAACUUGAGGAUUGCUCUUAUGUUUUGUCUAAUUAUAAUUCAAAUGACUUAAUGAGAUGCAAAAUAAUAAAUUGCGCUGACUAGAACUAAAAGCCUAAUGAUUUCAUUACCUGUGGUGAAAUUUGAAAAACGAUAUUUUGUCAUAAAAAAUAAAUUUUUAGAAAAACUGGAUCUUUAAAUUAUAAAAGUUUACCCACGUGUAAUGCAUUUUUUUCCUUUCUUCUUGAAAAAAGUAUCAUGCAACGUUUUGGUUCCUCAGAGUCUCAGACCCGUUAGUUUAGUAAUAACUAAAAUUUUUGUUUUUCGCAUUAUCAAAAGCAUUCAAAGAAUGUAUGAAUAGAAUCCCACUGACACUGAAAGAAUAGAUAGAGGACUUGUACCAUAUCUUAGUUGCGCAUUCCUUUCGGUAACUACAUAACGGCCACUGAUACUAAAAGAUUCGUGUGGAGUUUCAAAAAGAAGAGGCAUGCUGUUGAAAUUGUAUACCAAGAUACUGUUACGUUUGAAUACCUUUAUUACAUAAUCCUACCAAUUUUCUUUAUUCACUCUUCUUAAAUUGAGUGUGAAUUUGGCUUAGCUCAAUGUAUUUAAUAUAAAGUAUAUUAUCCUGACAGAAAAAAAAUAAAAAGUGCAUUAUUUUCAUUAUUAAUUAUUUAUAAUUUAAUGAAUCAAAAUUUUAAUGUAAAAUCAUUUAUUAUUUGUCAAGUGGUUGCUACAUUUAAAUUAACUCUUAUCUCAUAACAGAAAAAAUAAUAUUAACACCAAACUUUCUUUUGUCGGGAUAUUAACUAUAGACAUAGAACCAAAGACUGCAAUAUCAUAUACUUAAGGCUUCUUUGAAAGAUAUACAUAACUUUUGCGAAAAUAUUAUCUUCUUAUUUUGUUUGUAAAACCGAUCAAGCCAAAAUCAACCUACAAUUCAGUUAAAAUCUACUUUAUUUUCGGAGAAAAGGUUAUUUUAGAUUGUACAAAAAUAAGUUGUAAAUAGCUUCUUUUAGUUGGAGACAAUAUAUUGAUAAUUUUUUGAAAAUUAAUAAAAUUGCAAGAAUUUAAGAUAAUAUAAUACUUUUAUCAUUCAUUUCAUUAUUAUGAGUCAUGGGUCAGUUUUUUUUUCAUGAAUAGAUAUUGAUUUAUAAACUUAUAAAUUUGACUCACUCUAAAAGUAUGUUUAAUUCAAAUGAAGUGUAUUUAUCUAUGAAUACUUAAUUUAAUAAAUGUAUAAAUGCUGCUAAUCUUAAAAUUAAUGUUGUUAGAUAAAAAUAUAAUAUAUGUCCAAAUUAAAAUUAAAUUCAUAAUUCCAUCGUACAUAAAGACAAAACAUGGGGAUAUCAACACCGAAAGAAAGAAUUGUAAACUUCGAUCACCUCAUAUUUCAAACCAGAAUAAAGCGGAAAGAAGGGGAAAAGAGGAUUCGAUAAGGAUGGAUAAUUUGGUGGGCCUCAGUGGGCUUGGCCUAAUCCGUUAAAUUGGUUGCAAACAACGCAUGCGACUGCCAACAAUCUAGCAACUAGCCCCCUGUAACGCAGACAAUACCCGACCCACUUGCCCCAUUUUUCCUCCUCUUCUUUCUUAAUUUCUAGGUCUCUGCUUAACUCUUUUGGUACCGUGAGCUACCAAAAUUUAAAAAUUCUCCCGUGUCACGUAUUAUCAUAAUUUGAACUCUCGAUCUAGUUAUUAUAAAAAAAAAUUGAAAUAAAUAAAUUUGUAUAUAUUUUUUUUUCAUUUUAUAAUUCACAAAUUAUUUGUAAUAAUUAAAACAAACAUAAAGUAAUGGGAGAAAUCAAGUUUGACGAGAUGUAAACUAUAUUACCAUAUGUUACCUAACGUGUCAUAAUCUUAUUUAUAUAAAAAUUAUUCUAGAAAUAAAUGGCAACUUUAUAUGAUGCACGGGAGGGAGAGCAUAGAGGAGUCGGUAAGCAGAUCUUGAAAGUGAUCAUCUUGGACUAACAUUCAAAGUUCCAUAAAGUCUGGACUCGAAAUCUAUCGAAAUCAUUAUGCACGAGCUGUAAAUCAAUAAAGAUUAUGCGUUACACUUGACCCGGCAUUCAUAUUAGUUCUAGGUGGCUACCUGUUUAUUCUAAAGUUACAUUUCUUUUUUUUGCGUCAAGUUAUUCUAAAGUUAUAGUUGUUAUUUCUUGACUUGCUCUGGAGGCAGGCUCUUUUGAAGAUACCAAAUUCUGUUCAAGUUUCAAUAUAUACAACGCAUAUGGCAAAUUUAAUACCACAACAAUUUGAAAUCCCUUUUUUUCAAGUUAUUUUAUGUCUUGAUGAUGUACAAGAAUGGGAUCCCAAUGAAUUGUAUACACUACUUUUUGGCACACUUUUUAAGGCUGCUUUAAAGUAUAAUUCCACAAUAUUUUUUGAAAAUUUUCUUUUUAUGAAUAAAAAUUUGAUGUCUAAAUUUUUAUACGAAAAAAGAAAAUUUUCAAAAAAUAUUAUGUAACUAUACUUUAUUUGAGCCUCGAAAUACGGGCAAACAGUGAACGUAUACUUCUCAUUGGGACGGGGGAGUAGCAAACAUUUAGCGUGUAUCAUCGUUGUAAGGUUCAUUUUGAUUAUCAGAAAAUACGUUCACUUUCGACAGUACUUCUUGUUAUCGGAAAUUAUUAUCAAAUAUGUUUAUUUCUACAAGCAACCUGCAUGAAAGCGAGAGAAAUGACCAAACUUUGCGUGCUUAUUUUUACCUAAAAUUUGUUUAUGGCUUUCGGCAAAAAUAGCCAAUGCAAACCAUGUUUGUUUCUUAUUUGUAGGCUGUGCUGAAGCGUAUUUUAAUUAAACAAGGCCCAGCUCAUGCUUUCUUUUGUAGCACUGUUACUGGGUCCACUGCUUCAAAACAUAUACAGAAGCCCAUAUGUAGAAGUAUGGGACCUAACAUCUAAAGUAGAAGCCCAUAUGUAGAAGUAUGGGGCCUAACAUCUAAAGUUAUCAAGGCCUGUUGAUAUUAGAGUACUUUCAGAAUUGAGGCUUCAGAUUAUGUACUUAAUUUCAUUUUGGCUACAUGAAGGCAUGAAGCUAAUAUUAAAAUAUCACUUAGUCCGCUUAAACUUGGUACUGUUAAAUCUUCAAAUAUUUAAAAAUUAUGGGUCAUUCUAUUUUUUAAUUCACUAAUAAUUACUUUCUUCUCUUAUUUAAUUUUGAGUAUGAUCAGAAAAUACUUCAAAGAAAAUCAAAAAUUACACUAUGUAAUUCACACUUUGAAAUAGCGAGGUGUUUGAAGAGUAAGUUAAACUUGAGAAUAAAAUUAAUCAAUAAAAACCUGAUAUUAUUUGAAUAUUAGAAAAUAAUUUUAGUACUAAGUUAUAAUAAUAGUCCCCAUUUUUGUAUGAACGGGCAAGCACCCUCUUUGGACAUUUAUAGUCGCGAACUCUUUUUUCCUUUUUUUUUUUACAUAAUAUUGUAGACGUCAUUAGUUAUGAGUAAAAUAUAAUUAGGUAAAAAAACAUUCAAGAAUAAUGCUUUAUAUAAAUUGUAUUCAAAAGAAACUACAAAAAAAAAUCGAUCAAUAUUAAUAUAGAUUAAAAAUAUUGUUCAAGUAGUAUAAUACAUAUAAAUUUAAAAAGCGUGAUAACACAAAUAAUUCAGUGGUAAAGAGUCGGAUGAAAUAGAAACUGAUGAUUAUAGUAUUCCCUGAAUAGUUAAUAUAAUUAUUUCUAAACAAAAAUAUACAAUCAAAUUCAAAUUAUAAAAAAUAUUAAUAAAAAAAAUAAUUUUUACUGUACAUUCAACCUAUCCACCUUUCCUAUUUCACCCUUAGAAAAACAGAGAGUAACAUAUUUAAAAUGUGUUUUGGUUUGUGCGCUGGCAUUUUCACCCAUUUAACUAAAGUUAAACUAAAGUUGAAGUGGCAUCAUCAUCGUCAUAAUCAAUCACUUUAUAAUUUGAUGUUGGUCUUCCUUCCUGUAGUACCUUCAGAGUUUCUGUUAGCUGGCUGAUUAAUGCAAUAAUUACCAUCUUUUUAUUCUUCUGUAGAAGAAAAGUGAGAAUAAUUGCGCACAAUAGCUUUUACUCGAAAGAUUAGCUAUUUGCCUUCUUAUUUUAAAAACAUUUUCUACACAGAAACAUAAGCAAUUCUCCAAUAUCCGUCCUCUGAAAACAUGUGAUAAUUUUUCAAAGUUACAAGAUUGUAGCACUAGAUAAAAUCCUAAACUGAAUUUCACGUACCCCCGUCCAAUCCGUUCCUUAACGUUUGGGGAGAGGGUUUGACCCGCAUUUUACUCUUAUAAAAUAUCGUUUCACUAAUUAUUUUGAAAUUUUUUUCCUCAAAAAAAAGUUUAAUAUUUAAAUUUUUAUUCAGGAAAAAAAUUAAAAAAAUAAGUUACAAAACCAUAAUCUACAAAGACAUUAAAAUGCAUAUCAAUUAGUGAAAAAAAACUGUAUAUAAAUUAGUGGGUGGGGAGAGUAUAUAUAUUUCGGAAUAGAGAAGCAAAAGUAGCAUUUUUGUUGUUGGAAUCAACAAACGUGAAAAUGAUUUAUAAAUAACAAUAUUAUAACAACAUUGUUUGCUUUAACUAAAGAUUACUACCACAGAUGGCAACAACUUUUCUAGCAAUGGUUUAACUACUCCUAUAAUCAUUUUCUAUACAAGCAUAUACCCUACUCUAAUCAUACCUAUCUUUGUCUUAUAAUUGUAGGUUAGUUAUGUGAUUACAAACUCAUUAUACUUGUCAUUUUGGAUCCUCAUGCCUCAACAAGAAGCAAAGAAUCAAGGAUACUUGGAAUACUAUAUUACACCUAUUAUAUCAAUAAUCAGAGUUUAGUUAACCUGAUUACCGACAACUACAGAGAUAUAACAACCAACAGUAUAGUAUUUAAGGAUGAAGAAGCUUCAAGCUUCCAACAUUAUUCGAAAAGAGGUUGCAAGAUACAAAUCUACUUGAAAAAUACUACUUUCUACAGACUGCGAUAGCAACUACUAUGAACACCAAAACAUUAUUCAAGUGCGAUGAACAGAUAAUAAGCGAAAGACAAUGUAAUAUUGCUAGCGGUAUUAGAGUUCCGCCAUUUAUUUUCUCAAGUAACAAGUCAUUCACAGAUAAUAAUUCAAAAACUCUACACACAAAGAAUAAAAGAAAAUAGGCAGCAAAGCAACUGGACACACAAACUCAAAACACACAUCCCCACACACCAAAACACAAGAGUUUUUUACCGCUUUAAAGCAAAUUCCACGUAAAUUGAGGAGGUUUUGCACUAUCAUUGCUUGAUGCUGCCUUUGAUGUUGGAGGCAUUGGUGCUGGAACAGGAUCAAAAGUUUCCCAUUGUGUGGUUAUGACUACUGAUCCUGAUGGUGAGUGAGUAGCUUCUUGUUUCUGAACAUUUACAGGUAACUGCCUAACAGAACGCUUCGACUGUUGAUGCUGAGUUGGAGAUGGAACUUGCUCACCCGAGUAUCUCUCUUGCUGCCUUGGAAUUGGUGGAGAUGGAACUUGCUCUCCUGAGUAUCUCCCUUGAGGCCUUGGAAUUGGUGGUUUCUUCUGCUGAAGUUUUUGACUAAUACCGGUCCCUUUGCUGGUGGACAUUGAGGUCUUCACUGUUAACAUAUCUAGAAGAUUCGGCAAUGGCUUCUUUUCAAGUUUUGGAGCAAUAUGAGUUGCCGUGCUCCCAGGCUUUGAGCUCUUUUCCUUUAACAUAUCUAAUGUUUCCACAAGCUUCUGCACUCUCGUGACCUUCAAAUAUAUAUUUACAACAUGAGUUCAGUAAUUUGCUACAUAUACAAUUGAAAAGCUUGUGUUAAAGGAGACAUAUACCUGCGUUCUUCUCUUCAAUUUGACAUCUCCAUCGGCAAAAAUGCCAUCCAACUUGACAAGUUGGUUCAUUAACAGCUCAAUUAAAGUCUCCAAUUGCUUAUCGCCAACAUUUUUACCUUUAGAUAUUAUAGAUUCAUAUGCUGAAACCUGCACAAUUCCCAUCAACAGUAAUAAAUAUAUAUCAAUUAGAUGAAGUCUGCGUACAUAUUAUCCCGCCCAUGCUCAACAAGUAUGGUUAUGUAUAGUUUGACUUGGUUUCAGUUAAAGGCUUAACGCAAUCAUUUCAUCUCAUAAUUCAUUACCUGACCAGCAAGCCUAUCAACCUCCAAGCUAAUCUGUGAAAUAGAUUUAGAAGCUUGCUCCAAUUUAGCAUUCCUUCUCAUCUCCAGAAGCCUCUUCUCUUGCCCAAUUGGAUCUUCAAUAAGCACAAUCUUCGACUUAUCUUUCACCCCAACAAUAUCAAGAAAACUUUUAGAGUCCCUCUCCUUAUCUUUAUAAAACAGCUUCUGAUCUUCAUGAUGAACUCCCGUCGGCCCGGAUAACAUCUUCUUCAACUCCCCUGCAUAAUUCAAACAAUAAACCAAAAACUCACAUCAAUCAAAUAUCAAACAAUCACAAAUUCACAACAAUCAAAUAUCAAAAAAUCACAGCAAAACUGUAAAAAAUAAAAAAUAAAAAAUUGUAGUCUAGAAAACAUACCAAAACUUGCUUGAGAGCUGAUAUUAAUCUCGUGAUAAACAGAACCAUGUUUGACACGAACUCUAAUAGUUGGCGGCGGCGGAACACGGUGGUGAUCUGCAUCUGGGUCCCGCUUCUGCACAAGCAUUCCACCCGGCCUCAUUUCCCACACAUCCUUGGCGCCGGAGCUUUCAUUCUCCGGCGAGUAAAUACCCUUCAUACGCAUCAUACUUGCAAAGUCAAACUAGUUUCAACAACUAACUAGUUGUUGUCGGUGGAAGAGAGAGAAGAGAGAUAUGAGAGUCUUGCAGUUGUGUUUCGAUCUGUAUGUAUAAAAGAUACAUACAAACUCACAUAAACUACAACUAGUCAUCUCAAACAGAGGCCACCAUGCUUACACGAGUCCAAUCCAGACAGCCACGCGUAACUAAAACCAAACCAACAUACAUACAUAAAAACUUUCUCGUUUAGUAUGUGUGUGUUGUAAUAUGUGUGUGAAAGAACAGGAAAUCUUCAACUUUCCUAGUAAGAGGGGAUGCUUUCAGAUCUCUUGCUGCUAAUUUCCUUGUAACCAGAUCAAUUACUAGAAGUUAUAGGAGCUGAUAAAAACAAGGAUAUUUUAAUUAAUUAUAAUUAAUUAUGAUUAGUAAUUAAUUAUAAUUAAUAAAAUGGGCAGCAAGGAUUAAAAAUGGGUGGAACAAGGAAGAGGAGGGGUGGCUUGACCAAAAGGGUCUAUCUAUCAACUGGGCUGGGGUGGUUGGUUCUUAUGAAUACGAGAGAGAGACAGGGUGUUUGGAAGGAACAGAGGGUAGAAAGUUAUUACUAAAAUGAAACGGUAGCGGCUAACAGAAUUCAUAUACCUACCAUGUAAAAAAAGGGUUAUGCUUAUGCAGCAAAACUAGUGUAAAAUAUAAUUUGCAUUUUUGUUUAUGGUCGAAAGUUAUUGUUUAUUUGUUGUUGGAGAAGGUAUAACCAGAUUAGCACCAAGCUACUUUCUUCGUAAUAUAGAUAGUUUGCAUUUAAAUUCAUAUAUUUUUAGUAUUUACAUGUUGUCUAAACAGAAAUUUAAAAUGUGAUUUCAGGUUGUGAUUGGAAAAUAUUUAUUAUUUACCUUUUUAUAAAAUGUUAUCAACAAGUAUAGUCUAGUUCAAAAUUUAUCACGGUAAAUUGGUAUAUAUUUUAACUAUAUAUAGAUAAAAUGUAAUGAAUCAGUUUAAAAUAUUCACAAUACGUCAUGAGUGGAUUUGUCUCGAAUCGGGGUAGUAUUUAUCUGCAUUUUAACACCUAGACAUAGAUUUGAUGGCAAUAUUGGUUCAUUGAACAUAGUACGUCUAUAAAUUUUAAUAAAUUCAUACAAAUCGUAUUAUAAAAGUUGUGUAUUACAAAUUUCAUCCUAUAAAUUAUAAUUUUAAAUUUUUAAAAUAAACAUACUCUAACUCAUAUAUAAGUUUUAUGACGGUGAGUCGGCAUAAAAAUUGUAAAAUGCUACUCAUUUUUGUAUAUUUACGGUAGAUUGUUAGUGAGUGUGUAUUGAAGUGGGGAAGUUUCCAUCCAAAUUCAAAUGAUAGUAGAUUGUUAGUGGUUAUGUCGUGAACUAAGAAAGUUUCCAUCUAAAUUUUAAUGACAGUAGAUUGUUGGUGGGUAUGUCGUUAUCUGAGGAAGUUUCAGAUCGUGUGUCGUGAUCUAAGGAAGUUUCCAUCUGAAUUUUAAUGACAGUAGAUUGUUAGUGGGUGUGUCGUUAUCUGAGGAAGUUUUAGAUCGUGUGUCGUGAUCUGAGGAAGUUUAUCUAAAUUUUAAUGACAGUAGAUAGUGGGUGUAUCGUGUGUCGUGAUCUGAGGAAGUUUCCAUCUGAAUUUAUAAUGACAGUAGAUUGCUAGUGGGUGUGUCGUUAUCUGAGGAAGUUUCAUAUCGUGUGUCGUGAUCUGAGGAAGUUUUUAUCUGAAUUCUAAUGACGCAAUAUGGAUUAGAUCAACAACGCUGGUUCAUCGAAUCGAGAAAAAAUCCAUUCGAAUUUUGAGAACUACAUUUGUAUUGUAUUACAAAAUUUUUUAAAUUAAUUUUUAAAUACACCUACGUCAUGGCUAGAAUCAUAAUUUUUCAAAAAUUUCUUUUCGUAACUUAAAAUAUAUUUUUAAUAUCUUUAUUCAGAAAAAAAUAGUUAUUUCAGAGACACGGUAAUACUCUGAGAAUUGUAUGGCAAACUCAAGUGUCAUUUAUUUGAAAACAGAAAGGACCAUGACUUUUUACUCUCUCCAUUCCAAAAUAAUAGUCUGUCCAACUUUUUACACCUACUUUGAGUUGCAAAAAAAAUACUUCUACACAAUAUUUUUCAUUUUUUUAAAAUAAAAAAUAUAGAUGUCAAACUGUUGUGAGAGGAAUUGAUACAACACCCCCAGAACCGUGUAGCACAAUUAUAGGGAUAUCUGUUACGACUACGAAAAUCACGGCUAGCUCUUAGGGGCUACCGUUAACAUAAACUAACAAAACAAAUGAGAAACAAGUGUGUUUAAGGGCUGAGCUUGCAAAGAACCAAACAACGAGGCCGGAAUUAUGGAAUUCCGUCCUGCAAUUGCCCGGAAAUAUAUGUCACAAAGGUUACACGUGCCUCUCUUUAGAGUGUAGAACUCGUGAAAAUGAUCCAAGUCCCUUUGCAAGGUGCCUACAUACCCUAUAUUUAUAGGGAUCAAGCCCAUGUAGUUCUCGAUUUAGGACUCUGAAGAGAUAAGCUCUUAUCCCCUCUAGUUUAGGAUAAAACAGCCUUCUUUCAGUAGUUAUCCAGAGGUAUCCCACUCCAAGUAGGUCACUUGAAGCCUUCAUCUUGCAUAAUUAUCCGAAUAUUCUUGAAUUAUCUUCCCCGAUUGUAAUUAUCUCCAUAAUGCACGUAUUUAUCUCUUAAUUCGUAGAUAAAUAAUAGCUGAUACACUCCCAAUAUGUCUCCAAUUCGUCCUCCUAGAAACAAGGAAGAAGAGUCCUGCUUGGAGUCUGCCUGCCAUUCUGCCCAAGCGGCGGAAGCCCUGCCAGCGGCAUCCCCUAGCUGCAGCCCCAUAACUGCAAGCCAGGGUGCACUUAGCGGUAACCCCUAGCAGCGGUAACCCCUAAAGCGCCUUCAGGUGCAACCCCAUUCUGAUGGCAGCCUUCAUUAUGCUUCCAGUGUAAGUCCAUGUACCUUCUUGUACGCAUUCAAUGAUUCACCCAGCUAUGGCGAAGCCCAUUAUCCUUAACCAAAUGAUUCCAAUAAGCCCAAGUGAAGCCCAAAUAAUAUGAUGGGCUAUAAAAUAAGCCCAGGGAGAUUUUAUGGCACAACAACUACCCCCCGGUUCCUUGAAGUAUUAAAUACGAGAGGAACCUAAGAACGGUAACCCUCAAUCAUCCAGCUGCAAGCCCUUAAAUUAUGUCAGAAAUUAAUCGUAAAUUAUUUCUAAGCUUACGUGGGCGUAGCCCGGUGUAAGAAACAAGAAAUAAUUCAGACGUAAUUCCCACACAUAAUUAUAAAACCAAUUAUAUUAAUUCAGUACAACCACCGCAAGCCUUGAAUAUUUAUUCCCAAAAUAAUAAAAAUUAUUUUCCACGAAUAUGUCCGAGCUUCCACAAUUUUUAUUCCACCUUUCUAGUUUCCCGCGUGUGCCAUGUCAGUUUGUGAUAAGGCUAAUCCCAAAGAUUUCGGGGUUUAAUUUAAAUUCAAAUUGGUUUGAAUUGCAACAGAAAAUCCCUAAUUAGGUGGUGCAGCCGUAGAGUCCUAGCCUGCCUCUACCUCUUCAGCCACCCACCUAGGCCUCGGGAAGCCCUGCGUCAUCAAAGCCUUCUCCACGCCAAGCCAGUCACGGCACGCCACCUGGCGCAGCUGUCCCCCACUUCCCACAGCUAUAUAUACACUUACACACAGCCUUGUUUCACUUUUCUUUUAUCUCUCAAACACUUCACUCCACACUCUCUCUUCCGACCGAAGCACUUCCAGGCGCGCCUUACUCUUUCUCACCGGCGUUCACUUCUCCGUCUCCGUUUCCAACUUCCGACCAAAGGUAUGCUCUCCUCGAGCCUUCGUUUUUAUUUUUCUUUUACAUUUGCACCAUGUCUGCAACUAAACAUUUAUAUGAUCCAUGCCUGUUUGUCUCUUUUUCUCUUGACUGUUCACCUCGGUAUGCGUGCACACACUCACACUCGCCUUGCUUGAUGUUAUUAUGCUUGAUUAAACUGCUAAUUUGCUCUGCAUGCCAGUAUAGUUAAACAUGUACACUCAUCCUUUGAAUAUACACACACCACUGGUUUUAAUUGACUCCAAUUAGGCCCUGAUUGUUUCCCAACUGGGUUAUCGCCCUUGAUGUUGUCGCAUUACUUUGAGGCCAUGAUCGUAGCCCUAGAUUGUAAACCCUUGGUUCCCAAUUGCCUCCAGGGGGAACCCCUCUUUCACAAUCGAACCCCCUUUUUGUGCCCUUUAUCUGCUGUGAAUGUAUUGUUUGCGUGAUUUGCUUGCUACACUUGCUUAGCUGGUAUCUUAGGGUUGUGAUUGGGCGUUGAUUGUUGCGGUUGAGAUUAGGGUUAGGAUUAGGUUUCUCGUUCCGGGUCCCUUGUUGGGCUUCCCGAAGAAGAUGAACCGUCCUCCGUGGCCUGUGCCGCUUCCUAUGAGGGAUGUAGUUCCCGUAUACUUUUAGGGCUCCAACUGAAGCCUUCCCAUUCCUUCUUCGCACUCGCAGGGCUCCACCUUUGUAGCCCAGCCUUCAGCAGACCCUUUUUCCUCCUCCUUUUUUCCUUUCUUUCAACUCCUUCACAUCUUGCUGUGUCCUUUCGUUAACCCGUCCUUUCCUCUUGUAGAUGUCUCAAGGAUCCAUGUCCUCACACUCUUCUCAGUCUGCCACCAGCAAGGCUCCCGUUGUCGCGGUUGACACGGGAUCCUCCUUUAGCCAGGACCUUCAGCCUGCCCGGCCCAGUUUAGGGGUUAGCUCCAGAACCCGCUCCAGGCGCAGUUUGGUGGUGAAGGAGCUCAACUGGACCACCUCUGAGUCCAGUAAGGCGGAUGGGACCUCGGGCCUCCCGCUGGACCCUGCUGCUGAAGCCCUCGAGGGGAGCCCCGAGGAGGCUGAGCGGGAGGCUGAGGCUUCCGUGGAGGUGAUCGAGCCUCCAGCUGUAGUCCUGGCCUGCGAGCAUAUGGACUCCAUCAUGACUCCUGUUCGGCUGCAGUCCCUAUUGGAGUCCUGCAACCCUGGCUGCACCUUGGGGAUCCCGAAGCCAGGAGAGAGGUGUCACCGCUUUGACACCCUCAAGCCAGGCACUGGCUACCCCAAAGCCGUGCUUUCCGCCCAGUUCUUCAGGCUGGGUUUGUCUCUCCCCCUCCAUCCUUUCAUCCUGGAGGUCUUGGACUUCUAUGAGGUCUCCCCCAUGCAGCUCACCCCCAACUCCUACCGCAUGGCGGUCUGCCUCUACAUCCUCUAUGACAUCCACCAUGGGGUGAGGAUGUCUGCCUUGGAGUUGGGCUGGUUCUUCCAGCUGAAACUUACCGGCAGGACCCCAGGGUUCUUCUACCUCACUGCCUGGAACACCCAUCACAAGAAGGGCAUCAAGGGCAACCGCCAGUCGAUGUCGGACUGGCAGAAGCUCUUCCUUUACUGCUAUGACUGCCCAGUCUACAGGAAGGACUUCAAUCUCUCCCCCAGUAAGCCAGCUUUUCCUUAAUCCAUUGUCCAGUUUAGCCCUUUAGGGUUCCCGUUUAGUUUCCUUAUGCUUGUAUUUGUUGUAGACAUGCCAGUGCAGACUCCUCUGGCGGGAGAGUCCCUUGAGAGGGCCAAGCAUGUGUUGGGGCUAUCCACCGGGCUAGGUGAUGGCUCCAGCCUGCUUACUCCAGAAAAUCUGGAGAGGCUCGGUUUUUCCACUACGGUGGUAGAUGCAUCCCCCGUUGACGAGGGGGGUGCAGAUGUGGAGGCGACGGGAAGCCCAGGUUUCCUCUUAGCUUGCACCUUACAUGAUAUUUGCUUUAUAAAUUCCCUUCCUGCAUGCUUUAUGAUUUUUAUGCCAUCUGCUAUGCUUGCAUCUCCCCAUAUUUCCGUAUGUGUUUGCAUAUUAUCUAAUUGUUUCUCCUUGUUUCUUUCUGCAGAUAUGGCUUCCAACAUUCCCAAAUUCAUCAAGCGCUCCACCAAGUAUGAGGAUUUGUUCGGGGAGGCCUCCGAUUCUCAGGCCCCUCUCCCUGUAAAGCCACUCUCUCAGCUCCCUUCCCCCUCUCUGGAGCAAAAGAAGACCUCCUCCGGGGGUCGCAAGCGGGACCCCUCCAAGACUGCUGAGGGGGGGUCUUCAGCUGAAGGCCGUACAAGCAAGAAGCCCAGGUUAGCCCUGGCCCGCAGCUCUCCCGCUUCCUCCUCUUCUCAAAAGACUCAGCUCUUUCAGCGGAUGCUCUCCGACCAGAUCCCCGAGGCUACUGUCCGGGAGUGGGACAGGCUUUCAAUAGCCGAGGCCACCCGCGAUAAGGUGGUGGCCAACGCUAAGAGCCUGUUCCUCGAUCUGAAGAUGGGGGAGCACGUUGCUGACACAGCCCGGGUCAACGAGAAGAUGAGGGCGGAUUUGAAGCAGGCUAAGGCAGACCUGGCUUCCGCUGUCAAAGACAGAGAUCUUGUGCGGGUGGCCAACCAGGAGCUGAAGGAGGCUGAAGCCAAAGUCCGUGAGGAGAGGAGGAAGGAGGACGCUGUGAGGCGUUCCUUGGAGGAGGAGACAGAUGGCCUGGGGAAGAUGGUGAAGAGGCUGGAGGGCCAGGUGAAGGAGCUGCAGGAGGCUGCCGUUGCUGCAAAGGCGAUGAGGAAGGAGCGGGAGGCCGCCGUUUUCGAGGCCGGAGUUGCCGCAGGGGUCAAGGAUUGCGUGAAAUCGGCCUACCGCUUCUUCCCUGACAACGAUUGGGCCAAGUUGGGGCCCGACGCUGCGGUAGCCCUUGAGGAGGCAAAAGUUGAAGACGCCACCAGCUCUGGGAAAGCCGAAGCCAGCGCCAAGGAAGUUCUUGGGGGUACUUCUGAGGGAGAAACUGCGGCUAAGGACCGACAGGAGGCUGAGAAGGCAUCCCUUCCGGAACUUGAUGUGGUGGCCCAGGUGGAGGCCUUAGUUGUGGCUCCCUCCCAGAAUGCAAUCUCCUCGGAUGCCCUGGCAAUCGAUGAAGACCCCAAGGCCUCCUCCUCUCCAGCUGCUUCCUAAUCCUUCCUUCCCCGUGUUUAAUUAAACUUUUAUUUAUGAAUUGUGAAUUUGUGCGUGGCGCUUGUCGUCACGAAUUAAAUAUUCUUUUGGAUGAGGGUGCGGGCACCUCCGAAUGCUCCGCAAGACAUUUUUUUUUUUUAUAUUGUAAAGGGCCUCCCCCUGUUGGUGUGGGGAGGAAUUUCCCUUGCAAUAUUUUGCUCUCCUUUUUUGCUUAUAUAAUCGCUCUUAUUCCUUCCCCGUUUUGCCUUGUAUGCCUUUCUUGUAUUUCCUGGGAUAUUACUGUGUUGGUUGCCUAACUUUUCCAUGCAGGUAGAAAGGGUGAAUAUAGGGGAUAACCCUUGUACCGAAAGUGUACACAUUGUCCACCUUCUGGGGGAUGCGACCCUUAGGGCCUUGUUCUCCAAGGUCGUUUCCUUCUUUGCGAAUGUAUGUUGAUGUAUGUGUUAACUCACCAAUAGCGUACAUAAAAGCACUUGAUUUUUUUUUUUUAAAACCCCGUUCAAGGAUAGUUGAAUCCAAUCUCACAUGUGUGAGAAUCCAGGAACACCCUUGGGCUUAAGCUCCGAAAUGACCCCUAGGUGUAAGCCUUUUAAGUAGUUUCCGAGUAUAGGUUUUGAGAUAACCUUAUAACGUAGGCCUUGUAAUAAUUCCUCCAAAUAAGUUCUGAAGUAAUUCCACCGAGUUGGCCUUGUAAUAACGUCACCAAGUGAGCCUGAUGAGCCCGGAUGGGCUUUAAACCUUGAAGGGCUACCGCAAGCCCAACGUCACGAAAGCCUGAACAGCUUUUGCCUUGAAAGCCUUGAUAGGCUUGAAACCUUGAAAGCUUGAAAAGCUUUAGCCUUGAAAGCCUUGAUAGGCUUGAAACCUUGAAAGCUUGAAAAGCUUUAGCCUUGAAAGCCUUGAUAGGCUUGAAACCUUGAAAGCUUGAAAAGCUUUAGCCUUGAAAGCCUUGAUAGGCUUGAAACCUUGAAAGCUUGAAAAGCUUUAGCCUUGAAAGCCUUGAUAGGCUUGAAACCUUGAAAGCUUGAAAAGCUUUAGCCUUGAAAGCCUUGAUAGGCUUGAAACCUUGAAAGCUUGAAAAGCUUUAGCCUUGAAAGCCUUGAUAGGCUUGAAACCUUGAAAGCUUGAAAAGCUUUAGCCUUGAAAGCCUUGAUAGGCUUGAAACCUUGAAAGCUUGAAAAGCUUUAGCCUUGAAAGCCUUGAUAGGCUUGAAACCUUGAAAGCUUGAAAAGCUUUAGCCUUGAAAGCCUUGAUAGGCUUGAAACCUUGAAAGCUUGAAAAGCUUUAGCCUUGAAAGCCUUGAUAGGCUUGAAACCUUGAAAGCUUGAAAAGCUUUAGCCUUGAAAGCCUUGAUAGGCUUGAAACCUUGAAAGCUUGAAAAGCUUUAGCCUUGAAAGCCUUGAUAGGCUUGAAACCUUGAAAGCUUGAAAAGCUUUAGCCUUGAAAGCCUUGAUAGGCUUGAAACCUUGAAAGCUUGAAAAGCUUUAGCCUUGAAAGCCUUGAUAGGCUUGAAACCUUGAAAGCUUGAAAAGCUUUAGCCUUGAAAGCCUUGAUAGGCUUGAAACCUUGAAAGCUUGAAAAGCUUUAGCCUUGAAAGCCUUGAUAGGCUUGAAACCUUGAAAGCUUGAAAAGCUUUAGCCUUGAAAGCCUUGAUAGGCUUGAAACCUUGAAAGCUUGAAAAGCUUUAGCCUUGAAAGCCUUGAUAGGCUUGAAACCUUGAAAGCUUGAAAAGCUUUAGCCUUGAAAGCCUUGAUAGGCUUGAAACCUUGAAAGCUUGAAAAGCUUUAGCCUUGAAAGCCUUGAUAGGCUUGAAACCUUGAAAGCUUGAAAAGCUUUAGCCUUGAAAGCCUUGAUAGGCUUGAAACCUUGAAAGCUUGAAAAGCUUUAGCCUUGAAAGCCUUGAUAGGCUUGAAACCUUGAAAGCUUGAAAAGCUUUAGCCUUGAAAGCCUUGAUAGGCUUGAAACCUUGAAAGCUUGAAAAGCUUUAGCCUUGAAAGCCUUGAUAGGCUUGAAACCUUGAAAGCUUGAAAAGCUUUAGCCUUGAAAGCCUUGAUAGGCUUGAAACCUUGAAAGCUUGAAAAGCUUUAGCCUUGAAAGCCUUGAUAGGCUUGAAACCUUGAAAGCUUGAAAAGCUUUAGCCUUGAAAGCCUUGAUAGGCUUGAAACCUUGAAAGCUUGAAAAGCUUUAGCCUUGAAAGCCUUGAUAGGCUUGAAACCUUGAAAGCUUGAAAAGCUUUAGCCUUGAAAGCCUUGAUAGGCUUGAAACCUUGAAAGCUUGAAAAGCUUUAGCCUUGAAAGCCUUGAUAGGCUUGAAACCUUGAAAGCUUGAAAAGCUUUAGCCUUGAAAGCCUUGAUAGGCUUGAAACCUUGAAAGCUUGAAAAGCUUUAGCCUUGAAAGCCUUGAUAGGCUUGAAACCUUGAAAGCUUGAAAAGCUUUAGCCUUGAAAGCCUUGAUAGGCUUGAAACCUUGAAAGCUUGAAAAGCUUUAGCCUUGAAAGCCUUGAUAGGCUUGAAACCUUGAAAGCUUGAAAAGCUUUAGCCUUGAAAGCCUUGAUAGGCUUGAAACCUUGAAAGCUUGAAAAGCUUUAGCCUUGAAAGCCUUGAUAGGCUUGAAACCUUGAAAGCUUGAAAAGCUUUAGCCUUGAAAGCCUUGAUAGGCUUGAAACCUUGAAAGCUUGAAAAGCUUUAGCCUUGAAAGCCUUGAUAGGCUUGAAACCUUGAAAGCUUGAAAAGCUUUAGCCUUGAAAGCCUUGAUAGGCUUGAAACCUUGAAAGCUUGAAAAGCUUUAGCCUUGAAAGCCUUGAUAGGCUUGAAACCUUGAAAGCUUGAAAAGCUUUAGCCUUGAAAGCCUUGAUAGGCUUGAAACCUUGAAAGCUUGAAAAGCUUUAGCCUUGAAAGCCUUGAUAGGCUUGAAACCUUGAAAGCUUGAAAAGCUUUAGCCUUGAAAGCCUUGAUAGGCUUGAAACCUUGAAAGCUUGAAAAGCUUUAGCCUUGAAAGCCUUGAUAGGCUUGAAACCUUGAAAGCUUGAAAAGCUUUAGCCUUGAAAGCCUUGAUAGGCUUGAAACCUUGAAAGCUUGAAAAGCUUUAGCCUUGAAAGCCUUGAUAGGCUUGAAACCUUGAAAGCUUGAAAAGCUUUAGCCUUGAAAGCCUUGAUAGGCUUGAAACCUUGAAAGCUUGAAAAGCUUUAGCCUUGAAAGCCUUGAUAGGCUUGAAACCUUGAAAGCUUGAAAAGCUUUAGCCUUGAAAGCCUUGAUAGGCUUGAAACCUUGAAAGCUUGAAAAGCUUUAGCCUUGAAAGCCUUGAUAGGCUUGAAACCUUGAAAGCUUGAAAAGCUUUAGCCUUGAAAGCCUUGAUAGGCUUGAAACCUUGAAAGCUUGAAAAGCUUUAGCCUUGAAAGCCUUGAUAGGCUUGAAACCUUGAAAGCUUGAAAAGCUUUAGCCUUGAAAGCCUUGAUAGGCUUGAAACCUUGAAAGCUUGAAAAGCUUUAGCCUUGAAAGCCUUGAUAGGCUUGAAACCUUGAAAGCUUGAAAAGCUUUAGCCUUGAAAGCCUUGAUAGGCUUGAAACCUUGAAAGCUUGAAAAGCUUUAGCCUUGAAAGCCUUGAUAGGCUUGAAACCUUGAAAGCUUGAAAAGCUUUAGCCUUGAAAGCCUUGAUAGGCUUGAAACCUUGAAAGCUUGAAAAGCUUUAGCCUUGAAAGCCUUGAUAGGCUUGAAACCUUGAAAGCUUGAAAAGCUUUAGCCUUGAAAGCCUUGAUAGGCUUGAAACCUUGAAAGCUUGAAAAGCUUUAGCCUUGAAAGCCUUGAUAGGCUUGAAACCUUGAAAGCUUGAAAAGCUUUAGCCUUGAAAGCCUUGAUAGGCUUGAAACCUUGAAAGCUUGAAAAGCUUUAGCCUUGAAAGCCUUGAUAGGCUUGAAACCUUGAAAGCUUGAAAAGCUUUAGCCUUGAAAGCCUUGAUAGGCUUGAAACCUUGAAAGCUUGAAAAGCUUUAGCCUUGAAAGCCUUGAUAGGCUUGAAACCUUGAAAGCUUGAAAAGCUUUAGCCUUGAAAGCCUUGAUAGGCUUGAAACCUUGAAAGCUUGAAAAGCUUUAGCCUUGAAAGCCUUGAUAGGCUUGAAACCUUGAAAGCUUGAAAAGCUUUAGCCUUGAAAGCCUUGAUAGGCUUGAAACCUUGAAAGCUUGAAAAGCUUUAGCCUUGAAAGCCUUGAUAGGCUUGAAACCUUGAAAGCUUGAAAAGCUUUAGCCUUGAAAGCCUUGAUAGGCUUGAAACCUUGAAAGCUUGAAAAGCUUUAGCCUUGAAAGCCUUGAUAGGCUUGAAACCUUGAAAGCUUGAAAAGCUUUAGCCUUGAAAGCCUUGAUAGGCUUGAAACCUUGAAAGCUUGAAAAGCUUUAGCCUUGAAAGCCUUGAUAGGCUUGAAACCUUGAAAGCUUGAAAAGCUUUAGCCUUGAAAGCCUUGAUAGGCUUGAAACCUUGAAAGCUUGAAAAGCUUUAGCCUUGAAAGCCUUGAUAGGCUUGAAACCUUGAAAGCUUGAAAAGCUUUAGCCUUGAAAGCCUUGAUAGGCUUGAAACCUUGAAAGCUUGAAAAGCUUUCCUUCCCACCGGUGCAGCCAAGUUAUCAAGUUGUGUUUACGAGUUUUAGUGUUUUCGAUUCCCAAAUUUAUUUGAAUUUUAAGCCAAAUGAGUAAUGUUAAUGAUACGCCUACUACCCCCCGAGUUCUUUAGCAUAAUUUUAAUUAUGGUGGAGAACUAGAUGCAAUUGAAGCCCUAAAUAAUUUUUAAAGCAUACAUGAAGUAUUCAAUUAACAAUCAUGGUAAGCAAGCAAGCAUAUACAACAUUUUUGUAACGGAAAGCUGCGAAAUUUUAUUGAAUCACAUGGUAAAAAUUGACAUAGCAUAAUAUUGGGGGGUGCAACGACACUACCCCCCGAGCGUCCUAGCAAAUAAAGCAAAUAGUAGCCUGAUAAUUCUCCUAAAAGCAUAGCGAUUACAACUAAUAAAUCGCCUUUAUUUCCUGACCCUUAAGCCGAAGCCUACAGAAAUACUACCCGGGUGAAGCUACUGGUAAUACCUCUUUAAGUGUUGGGCGUUCCAUGCCCGUGGUAUGAGUCUUCCAUCCAUGUCUGUGAGGUGAUAGGUACCUUCCCAAAGCACUGUUUUGAUGAUAUAUGGGCCUUCCCACUUUGCACCGAAGGCUCCAUGAGCGGGAACCCUCAUGUUAGGCAUCAUUUUUCUGAGAACUAGGUCUCCCGUUUUGAGGGGUCGAGCCCUUACUUUCUUAUCAAAAUAUUUACGGGUCCUCUGUUGAUAUGCAGCAAGUUUCAACUGAG
rnacentral:lncRNA from 1 species